rnacentral:rRNA from 1 species
CCUACGGGGUGCAGCAGUGAGGAAUAUUGGUCAAUGGACGAGAGUCUGAACCAGCCAAGUAGCGUGAAGGAUGACUGCCCUAUGGGUUGUAAACUUCUUUUAUAUGGGAAUAAAAUGUUCCACGUGUGGGCUUUUGUAUGUACCAUAUGAAUAAGCAUCGGCUAACUCCGUGCCAGCAGCCGCGGUAAUACGGAGGAUCCGAGCGUUAUCCGGAUUUAUUGGGUUUAAAGGGAGCGUAGGUGGAUUGUUAAGUCAGUUGUGAAAGUUUGCGGCUCAACCGUAAAAUUGCAGUUGAAACUGGCAGUCUUGAGUACAGUAGAGGUGGGCGGAAUUCGUGGUGUAGCGGUGAAAUGCUUAGAUAUCACGAAGAACUCCGAUUGCGAAGGCAGCUCACUGGACUGCAACUGACACUGAGGCUCGAAAGUGUGGGUAUCAAACAGGAUUAGAUACCCUGGUAGUC